rnacentral:lncRNA from 1 species
AAAGAGGUUUAGCCACUGAGGGAGAAAUGCAUCCCCAGGUCUGAGGGGAUAUCCCUUUUCUUCAAACAAUCCCUGGGUUGUUUGUCUACAGUAGAACUCUCUUUAAUAAAAAAAAAAAAUGAAAUGAAAUAAAAAUAAAGUAAAAGAACGCCCAUCUUCAGUAUACCAAGCAGCAUGCAGGGCAUAAUCGCCUCAAUUCUUGGUAUCUGGCACAAUGUUCAGUUGGCAGAACCACGCUUUCUGUGGGGGUAAUAAGCUUAAUAUUUAGCCUGCAUUACUGGGGCAGUGGUGAAGGGAGGGGGACAAAAUGGGAGAGAGACCACUGUAGAAAUGGAUAUUGAAUUCCAAGUAUUAUUGUUGGAAUCUCUGGAGAAAAUGGCUCCUGAACAUACAGGAUUUUCAGUACAGUUUAAAAAAG